CCAGAACGACGACUAAUGAACUCAAAGUUUGAUUUUUGGUCUCGAAUCACUAAAAUAGACGAACCCAAAGCUUCAAAAAUCGGGUAGAAAACUAAAAAUCCACACGACUUGAAUUCCGGUGAGAUAACAGUGACCAAAACAGAUGAAAGUAAGUUGGAUUACUGCGACGCAGAAUGUUUCCUAAACGGGGGUGCUUGGAAACGUUCAAAACGGACUGUUCCGACGAGAUUAUCGUCUCCCUAUCGGAUUCGCCCAGAAGUCAAGCAAGAACGACGAGGUUUCGGUGAAGGAGUCCCCCGAACAGCUACCAAACCCACCAGAACCCAUUUUUAAGUAACCCGAAAUCAACCCCGCUUUCUUUUACAUUACAGAUCUCAACCUUGAAUCCCUCUCUCUCUCUCGAUGCUCUAUCUCUGUCACUUUUUGGCGUUCUCUCCCUUUCUCAUUUUUCUCUAUUUUUCCUCCUCCGACCAGUUCUCUCUCUCCACCACAACAAUGAUGUUCUCUCCCUAUAUCUAUCUCAAUCUAUCUCCCUCCAUCUUCUCCGAUCUAUGUGUGUGUGUGCGUUAAAGGGAGUAUGAAUUCGGUGAGUGUGUGCGUGAUUUUAUCUUGGUAGCAGCUGAAAAUGGAAGAUGAUGGUAAUGGUUUUAUGGUGAGUGUGUUCUUGUGUAUUUAAUGAAGUUGAGUGUUAUGUGUGCCAUGGAGAAGAAAAGAAAAAUGGAGUUCAUCCAUGGCUACUGUUGUGUGCUUCCAGGAAGAAAUGGAAUUCUGUAUCUUCAAUAAUGGAAAGGGUCCCUUUUUUUCUUUUUUUUUUCGCCCAUCCCCCCUCAUUUGUCAAGAUGACCAGUGUAUAUAUGUAUUUAAAAAAACAAAAGGGAAAAGUGGGGUCCAUCAGUGAGUGUCCUGUGGAAAUUUCCUGGAAGAUGUAUAUUGUAUUGUGUAAGUAUGUAUGGCAUGUGGUAGUGGGGUAGAGUAGGUGGAGUAAUGAGGUGGGGGUAGGGAUAGGGUGUGAUGUGGUUUAUUUUGAUUGGGUAGGUUGUUAGGAUAAAGUUUGUUAGGGAGUUUUGUUAUUUUUUUUUUUUGUAUUUUGUGGAGGGAUAAUUACACGGGGUAGGGCAUGUGGUAAGACGGGGAUAAAAAUGUGUAACUUGGGUCUUCGGGAGGGAAAAAAUUAGGUGUCUACAUCAUGCCCCCUUUGAAUGUAAACACGAAGUGUUUUUGGAUAAAGAAGUAGACAACGAGACCAAAUUUUGACCCGACCAUUAUUCAAGGAAAGAAACAGAAGAAAGAAGAGCAACCGGGUUUUGAAUUAGGACAUCUUACCUACCCAAGUUAUUAAGGAAUCAAUUGACACGUAUCUCAAAGGGUUGGAAGGAGAGGAACUAUGCCGCAUUGGAGAGUCAAGUGAGGUUCCAUCGAGGUUUCGGUCCGCGGCUCUGUCAUUACAUCAAAAAUAAAAAUUACAUAUUAAAACAUAAAUGAAAUUACAAAAUCCUAUCUGUACAGCUUCUGUUGGAUCUUGACUCGACUUUUAUAACCCUAUUCUUCAGGCGGGCUCCUGACUUGCAAUUUCUUUCAACUUGUUCUUGGCUUUCGAUUGCUUCGCUUUGUUGCUUGACUUUUCAUUUCUUCACCCUAUUCUCCAGGCGGGUUCCUGAUUUGCUAGUUCAUCACUUUGUUGCUUGAAUUUUCAUUUCUUCACUCUGUUCUCCAGGCGGACUCCUGACUUGCUAUUUAUCACCCUGUUCUUCAGGUGGGCCCCUGAAACCCAAAAUUAAAACUAGAACGAAAAUUAUCCCAAACAAAAAUUAUAGUAAAGUAGUAUUUCAUUUUUGAAAGCGUUGUCCCAUUUUUCAGGAGGGUCCUGAAAAGAAGGUAAAAUCCCAUUUUUCAGGGGGGUCCUGAACAUAAAGUAAAAUUCUAUUUUUCAGGAGGGUCCUGAACAUGGAGUAAAGUCCCAUUUUUCAGGAGGGUCCUAAACAGAAAGUAAAAUCCCAUUUUUCAGGAGGGUCCUGAACAUGAAAGUAAAGUCCCAUUUUACAGGAAGGUCCUGAACAGAAAGUAAAGUCCCAUUUUCCAGGAAGGUCCUGAGUAGAAGGUAAAGUCCCAUUUUUCAAGAGGGUCCUGAGCAGAAAGUAAAAUCCCAUUUUUUAGGAGGGUCCUGAACAGAAAGUAAAGUCCCAUUUUUCAGGAGAGUCCUGACCAGAAAGUAAAUUCCCAUUUUUCUGGAGGGUCCUGAACAGAAAGUAAAGUCAAAUUUUUCAGGAGGGUCCUGAACAGAAGGUAAAGUCCCAUUUUUCAGGAGGGUCCUGAGCAAAAAGUAAAAUCCCAUUUUUCAGGAGGGUCCUGAACAGAAAGUAAAGUCCCAUUUUUUAGGAGGGUCCUGAGUAGAAAGUAAAUUCCCAUUCUUCAAGAGGGUCCUAAACAGAAAGUAAAGUCCCAUUUUUCAGGAGGGUCCGGAACAUGAAAGUAAAGUCCCAUUUUUCAGGAGGGUCCUGAUCAGAAAGUAAAAUCCCAUUUUCCAGGAGGGUCCUGAGUAGUAAGUAAAAUCUCAUUUUUCAGGAGGGUCCUGAACAGAAAGUAAAAUCCCAUUUUUCAGUAGGGUUCUGAACAGAAAGUAAAAUUCUAUUUUUCAGGAGGGUCCUGAACAGAAACUAAAAUCCUAUUUUUCAAGAGGGUCCUGAACAGAAAAUAAAAUCUCAUUUUUCAAGAGGGUCCUGAACAUAAGGUAAAGUCCCAAACAAAUAUUAUUAUAAAGAGAUUUUAUUUGCCAGAAAAGUAAAGUUUCAAAAACAGAAAUUGAAUUUUUGCACCAGUUUAUCAUCAAAAGACUUUUGGAAAAAUCACAUCAUACCUACUUGCAUGUUGCAAUGAUGAAUCAAGACUCUGACUAAGAAAUGCAUCUCUUAAGAGUAAAAUUAAAUAACCAAGACUAGGAAGUGCAUCUCCUUAGAAUUAAAGUGAGGGAUUGUAACUAGAAAGUGCGUCUUCUAGAGAUACAAGUUUAAGUUAAAAGUGUGUCACCUGACAAAUGAAAACUAGCAAGGAAGUGCGUCUCCUAAGGAUUAAGUGCAAUAACUCGACUAGAAAGUGCAUUCUUCUAGAAAUCAAGACUCAAGUUAGGAAGUGCAUUACCUAAAAAUCAAAAUUCGAAAUACCCAAUCAAGGAAGUGAAUCUCCUUACCAAUGUUGCUUGAAUUAUCAAAACAAGGAAGUGCAUCUCCUUACCAAUGCCGCUUAAAUUACUCAAACAAGGAAGUGCGUCUCCUUACAAAUGCUUUUUGAAUUAACCAAACAAGGAAGUGCAUCUCCUUACCAAUGCCGCUUAAAUUACUCAAACAAGGAAGUGCGUCUCCUUACAAAUGCUUUUUGAAUUAACCAAACAAGGAAGUGCAUCUCCUUACCAAUGCCGCUUAAAUUACUCAAACAAGGAAGUGCGUCUCCUAACAAAUGUCUCUUGAAUUACUCAAAUAAGGAAGUGCGUCUCCUAAAAAAUGUUUCUUGAAUUAACCAAAUAAGGAAGUGCUUCUCCUUACAAAUGUUGCUCGAAUUGCCUAAACAAGAAAGUGCGCCUUCUUACAAAUGUUGCUUGAAUUAACAAAAUAAAGAAGUUCAUCUCCUAACAAAUGUAUAUUGAAUUACUCAAACAAGGAAGUGCGUCUCCUCACAAAUGUUUCUUGAAUUAACCAAAUAAAGGAAGUGCAUCUCCUUACAAUAUUGCUUGAAUUGUCCAAACAAGGAAGUACUUCUCCUUACCAACAUCGCUUGAAUUACAAAAAUAAGGAAGUGCGUCUCCUAAUAAAUGUUGUUUGAAUUACCCAACCAAGGAAGUGUGUCUUCUUACAAGGAAGCGUAUCUCCUAGAAAUCUUGAAUUAUGAGUUUUACCAUGGCUUUGAAUACUAAAUAUGUGCAGAAAUAUUGUCUCCUUCCUUUGUGGAAGUGCGGUAAUGUAACUUUCGAUGUUUAGGAUUUGAAAUCCUUGAUUCGAAGGUAACAUGUGUUCCUGUUUCAUACAAAGAAAACUUGUUAGUUUAAAAACAUUAUGGUUGGUUUGUGGCUUUGGAUUUCGUGGAAAUCGCUCUUGCCCCAGUUACAUUUAAUCUUGCUUUCAACCAUUAGCAUGUGUCACUGGCUUGCUGUAUCAUUGCCCUAAACUCAGAUUAUUAAGAGUGACUCUGAAACAAAUACAGUAUUCCUGAUUUGUCAUGCUUCUCAGAUAAACUCUUUGAACCUUGGUAUUUUCAUGAAUUUCCAGACUUGUCGGUUGACAAAACUUUCUGCAUGCCUUGUUUUGGCUCACAAUCAUGUCUCUUUCAUGUGCUGACCUUUUGUCUUACUUUCUGCAAUUGAAGAGCUGUAGCCAGUUUUGAAAUUUUUUCUCACUUGUUUUGACAUAGACUUGACUCAACAACAAGAGAAAAAUGACAAUGACUUUUAUUUAGAUAACUGACUCAAGAAAGAUAAACAAAAUAAAGAGAAGCAAGAAAAGAUAAUGAAUGUCCCAAUUGAAACAAAGAAAUAAAAAUUUAUCUAAAAAUGACAGUCAACUCCAAAGAUUAUGCCAUGCCUUUUGGGUCAGGCUGUCUGAUCUUUCCAUCCAAACUUUCUACCAAUUGUUGUUGAGUUAAUGACCUUGAAAUUGAGUUGUUUCCUUAGGUCAAUUGCAUUUAACACCUCGUUCGGCUAGUGGCGCCUUGGAGGGUUUUUUUUUUCAACAAGCCUCUCUCAUUUUUUCUAUCUCACCAUUGCCUUAUGGUAUCCGUGAGGGUUUUUCACCAAUGAAACUCUCUUAUUUUCAUCUAUCUCAACUCACAGUCGUCUUAUGGUGCCCGUGAGGGUUUUCACCGAUAAGACUCUCUAAUUUUUAUCUCUCUCUUGAUUUCUUGUGCUGAGAAAGACAAAUAGUUCCCAAAUACAUCAUCAUAUCCCUUGCAUGAUUUGCCUUAACAUUCUCAAAGAUUGAUCCGAAGGUCUUUCUUUAGUUGUAACUUGGCUUUUGGAUAGGGUUAAAAAGAAAAGGAUGCCAUGGGGCCCAAACAACACUUGAAGUGGGUGGGACUUACAACUUUUGAAAUUGACUCAAACAAUGAGGAUAAACUCAUACCCCAAUUUCUUUUGACUGGGUGACGCUAAAUUAUUUAUUUGGUUGGACCGAGCCCUUAGUAGGGUAGCCUACGUAUCUCAGCCCCGAGAGAGGAGAAUCAGGUCAUGCGUAGUUUUGGAAGCUUGUUCUUUUGCUUUGAUCUGAUUUUUUUUCUUUUAUUCACUCUUUUCACUUUGUGAUUCUUUUUUCUAACUCUAUUUUUCUUGACACUCUUUUUUCUUUUGGAAAUAUUUUUGUCUAUUUUUGAUAACUUUUUGACUUUAUCUUUUUACUCGACACUAUUCUUUGAACUUUGCUUACUCUAUCUUGAUUCCAAAAGAGGGGUAUGAAAGAAAAUAACACUAAGGCUCAAAUAGGGUAAACAAAGGAUGACACAAUGUUUGGAUAGUAGAAUGAAAUGCCUUCAUCAUAUCAAUCCUUGAGAAUGCAAGUACAUAAUAUGCAAUUGGAAGUGAGAGAUGAAGAUCAUUUGCGACAUCUUUUUAAGCAUAUUGAGUUUGUACGUCACUACUUCUUUUGUAAACUUCACCUUUGUUGUACAUUCCUUACAUAAAAUGACUCAUGCUUUCGUGGAUCUUCUUAUCUUCUUGUUUCUCUUGAUAUAGGGAUCACACGUCCACCAUUUGACCUAAUUGCGACUUGAUUUUUGAUCGAUGACCGAGUUCUUGUGAUUCUCAAAAUAAUUGCCUUAACUUGUCAUCAAAUGUCUCAGCACUCUAUCUAUUUUCUCAUAUGCUUUCUUUUUCUAACUUUAACCCUCUGAUUUAAUGUUCAUGCUUAAACUGGAUUUUAAGAUCUGGCUAAAAAUUUCACUAGCAUGUCAUAUCACUAGAGUCAACACAAAAUGUACUAUGUAAAGAAAACAAACAAACAACGCAUAUUUAAAACACAAAAGAAAAUGAGACACUUCAUUUAGUCGAAACAAAAGAUAGAAGGGUUUGAACAUAAACAACAAAAGGACAAAACAAGACAGAUCCCGAACUAUAACCCUUAAAUAAUUUGGAGAAGAGAAAAUAAAACAAAAUAAGCUACCAAACCCCUUCCUAGUAAGGAGAGAGGUGACUUCUCAAUUGCUCAGCCUGACAUCUUAGCCACUGGUUUCCAUAUCAACAUGACUAAAACUUCCCUCACUGUCAAUGUUCUGCACCAUGAUUGAUUUAUCUUGAAUCAUCUUUUCAAUUUCUCUUUUCAAAGCGCAAAAAUCUUUAAUACUGUGACCCUGAACAUCGGAAUGAUAUGUACAUCGUACAUUAGGAUCAAAACUUCUUGAAUGUGGGUCAGGAGUAUACCCAAGGAGAGGAGUGAUCAUGCCCUGCUAUACCAAUCUUUGGAAUAAACUUGCAUACAAAUCUCCAAUGGGUGUGACGCUAUUCCUCAACUUCUGUCUCAUUUCAUUAUUUGGCUUAAAUUGAAAACCAGGCCUAGAAGGGCUUCGGUAUGUAUGUGGAGUUGGAGGAUGAAUCGACAGAGUUGGCGCACGCCAGUGUGGGUAAGAUGGAGGUUGAACAUAAGGUUGCGUAUCAUACACUUGAUAUGGAGGUGGGGGAAUGGGAUAUAAUGGAUUUUGGUAAAGAGUCUGUGGAGCUUGGGAAUAAACUUGGGUUUGAGCCCGUAGGUAACGAUGGUGUGGUCCUCUUGCCCAUGCCUAUUGUCCAACUGCAAUGGAAGAUGUAUCUUCCUCAUUCUUCUUUCCUCCCAUACUUCCCGAAUAUUUUGAAUUGCUUGAGUAGUCGCUUUAAAUGUUGCAAAACUCACAAUGCGACCAGUCUUAAUUCCAUCUUCUAUCAUCUCCCUCAUUGAGGAGCUCAAUAAAUGGCUUGCCUAAUGCAGGUAACAAGUGUUGAUAAUAUGUUUCAUCCUGCGCUUGAAUAAAUGCCUCUACUAUCUUACUUUUUUUCAUUGUCGGUUUCACCCUAGCAGCUUGUUCACGCCAUCUAAUCGCAUACUCUCUAAAAGUUUCAGUACUCUUUUUUUUCAUAUUAGUUAAGGGUUUAUCGUCAGGAAUCAACUUUAUAUUGUAUUGAAAUUGUUGCACGAAUUCAUUAGCCAGGUCAUCCCAGCUAUUCCACUUGUCGAUGUAUUGGUCAACAAACCAUUCUGAAGCUAGACCUGAAAGACUCUCACCAAAAUAUGCCAUGAGUAAUUCUUCCUUCCCUCCAACGCUCCUUAGCUGGUUGCAAUAGCGUCUCAAAUGUGCUACAGGAUCGCCAUGUCCAUCAUAUUUCUCAAACUUCGGCAUUUUAAAACCAAGAGGAAGAUGUACACCUGGGAACAUGCACAGAUCUUUAUAUGAGACACUUUUGUAUCCCCCAAGUCCUUGCAAGUUUUUCAUAGUCAGUUCGAAACUUCUCAAUUUUCUAUCUAUUUCCUCUUGUUCUUCUGUCAUAACAGGCUUCUCAGUGUUAGGAGGAAAUUCUGGCGGUUGAGGGCAAUCGUAAGGACCAGUCGACUUAAAUAUGGGCCCGAGAGCGAAAUGCUAAUAAUUAAAAAUAUUCAAUACAGGGUCGCUUGUAGAGUGAGGAAUCACAACCGUUGGAUUGACAUAAAAGUAGGAGCUUAAGACGGGAGUGAGGCUGCAAAAGCAUGAAUAGCAGGCGGAGCCGAGCAUGUGGUAAUUUUGUAUUGAGGAGUGAGGAAAUAAAUAUUGGAAGUGUUUGGAUACUGUUGCCCUGGAGUAGGUCCUGAUGCAUAUUGCGGGGUGUCGACCAAAAUAGAAAAUUGUGCAUGUGACACUAGAGGCAAACUAGAAAGAUAUUCCAGAUUAUUUGCAGGAAAUGGAGGAAGCGGCAACCCAUUAGCCCAAGCUCGAUGCAUUUCUAUUAUUUGCUGCCUUAAUUUUCGAAUCUCUUCAUUAUCUCCUACAUUCUCAUUCCCCGAACUCCCUACCUGAUUAGUGACAAUUAACUCGGUAUCCUUGUUGGCCAUAACUUCCUUUGUGAUUUGGAUCAAUAUGGAGGACCAGCCAAAGUGCCACAAACCAACCACCUUAAACUAACUGGACAAGAGAUAGCAAAUGGUUAGAGUUCAACAGUUUUUCAAAAUCUCUUUUUUUUAAAAGGAUCACUGAACCCAAGAAGGUCGCCUACGUAUCUCACUCCCGAAAGAGGAGAAUCAGGUGUGCGUAGUUCGUGAAGUCUUGCCAAAAUUACCAAAUUAAACUUUUUUCUUAUCUUUUUCUUGAAACUUUAAGAAGAAAAGAAAAUAACAAUUUGUCAAAAAUCUUUUGGUAUUUUUCAGGUUUAAACACCCCUAUACAAAAUGAAAUCUAUAAUUACCAAAGAAAAAUCUUUUUGGGUUUUCAAUUUUGCUUUUCAUACGAAAAUGAAACUUGAACCUAUUAAAGGAAAAUCUUUUUGUAGUUUUCUUUUAUUGAUGUAUGUGACACCUACUCUAAAUGAAGAGAAAAGAAAAAUAUUUUUGGAUUUUUAAAAUAAGAUCCCCGAACCCACAAUAGGUUGCCUACGUAUCUCACUCCCAAAAGAGGAGAAUCAGGGAUGCGUAGUUCGUCCAGAUGGGACAAUUAAUGAUUAAAUAACAGGCUAGACCCUGACUUAAGAGAUACGAACAAAGACAAAUGAUGAACCACGUUAAUAAAAUCUUUUGAGUUUUUAUUUUGAUACUUCACAGAAAAAUGACAUCAACAACUAUGAAAGAAAAAUCUUUUUGGUAUUUUCGUUAUACGAAAUGUAAAAAAUUUCUAACAUCUUUUUUUUUGUUGUAUUUUUCUUUUAUAAACACAUCCUAUGAAUGAAAAAUCUUUUGAAGUUUUCGAAUUGUGAAUGCAUGCUAAACGAGACAAAGGCAAAUCUUUUUGAUGUUUUUGAGAAAAUGAGUGCGAAAGGUAAAAAAAGUCCUUUUGAAUUUUGGAAUUAUGAAAAAUAAAAGCCAUUAAAAACUCUAAAAACUACGAAACUCUACGAAACUCUUUUUUUUUUUCAUUACCCACACACUUUACUUCUAACACAUGUUUUUCCCAAAUCAGUCCGUCAAAUGACCAUGUUAUCCUCAAAGAUGCAACAUUUAGCACAUUGGGAUGCUUUAGAGGUGAGUCUCCUACAAAGGACUAAGUGGGCCUCGCUAGGUCUCAAUAUGAUGCACAUAAGCAUGACCUAAAGGCUGACCUACGUUGUGGUUCACUAACAAGGCUAUUCGGGGGAGCGUAUGGUCGAUAGUGACUGCUUUGCUUUCCACCUACUCUCUAACACCGACGGCUCCCUCCCUAAAAUAAGGGUGACUCAACUAGAGGUCGUGUACAACACGUGUACUACAGACUUGUUGCAGAAAGAAGGCCUGGGGGUAGACACAUGAUGCCAGAUAUAAAAGCGGUAACACAUAGGAUAAAUACUGUACACAAAGAAUACGAAAACAUUCCACAAUGAUAAAACAAUAACACUAAACAACACAAAUAAAAUGUUUAUAAACCUAUAGUGCCAAACAAAGCCGAUACGACUCCGAAAUAAGCUCAAAUUUUGAACAAGUCCCCAGCAAAGUCGCCAGAGUUGUCACACCCUUUAUUCGUACUCCAAAAAAAGAUUUCAUUUAAGUUCGAAAGGGUUUUAAUUAUUAAGUGACAAAGGAAAAUGAUUUUUUCUUCGAAAAAGGAUUAUUUUUACAUUCAAACUCAGAGUCGCCACUUGGCAUAAUCCGGUGUGUCAAUUCACCUUUGAAAAAUCCUUUUCGAAAUGAUUUGACUCUUAAAAAGACUGGUUUGCAAAUAGAGAUUUUGUCUAAGGAAUUUUAUUGACCGAGGGGAAGGUGUUAGGCACCCCUUGAUCCCGUGGUUUGACCACGAUCGCUUGGUGGAGUGUAUUGGAUAUUUUGGCAUUACGAAUGUAUAAACCACACAAAAACACAUAAAACAAUCAAACCAAACAAAAUGAAUAAAAGUACAGUGUUCAGUCCAAUUAUACAAUCCCAAAAUAAAUAAAAAUGUAAAACUGAAUCCUAUCUAGCCUAUACUAAUCGUAACUAUGCUCCCAAGUUCUACCCGAUGCCUCGGACCUUGAUCACGAGCAUCCUCCGAGUACAAGAUACCUCGGGGCAUUCCCCGAUGAAUAAAUACAUAAGGUCUCGGGGCAUUCCCCGAUUAAAAUGAAUACAUUUCUCAACCUUGUGUGCUAAAAAAUAGAAAGAACCAAUCACUAAAUAUUCAAACAUUCAACAAAUCACCAAGAGUCCUAAAUUUUGCCUACCCAAAACCUAUUUUGCUUAUUCAUUCCAACAUAUCAUAAUUCUAUUACGUUCCAACAACAUUCAUGCGUGUUCAAAUUUAACAAAAAAAACUACAAUAAACCAAAAUUGAUCCUAUUCAACCAUUUUUAUCAAGUUUCUAACUCUCACCCCCAACUUCAUUUUUAACCACAUGAUUUAACCAAUUUCGAUGAAGAAUCAACAAGUGGAUAUCAACAAACAUUCACGGUGGUCCAAAAUAUAUCAACAUCAACAAACAAGAAUUCACACAUAAUGAAUUUAACAAGCAAAAUAUCAAACAAUUAGAAUUAAUAGAGAACGAGACAAAAAUUGGACCUUAAUGUCGCUUUCAUUCAAUCAAACGGAGGAGCUUCGCGGAUUCAAAACCUCGACUUAAACCGAAUUCAAAAAAAACCCAAUACCAAAAAUCCAAACAGCAGCUUCGAAGAAGAAACACAAACCAAACCUCGAUAUGAGAACAAAAAAACCGAACCCAGAACGAUGACUAAUGAACUCAGAGUUCGAUUUUUGAUCUCGAAUCACUAAAAUAAAUGAACCCAAAGCUUCAAAAAUCGGGUAGAAAACUAAAAAUCCACACGACUUGAAUUCCGGUGAGAUAACAGUGACCAAAACAGAUGAAAGUAAGUUGGAUUCUGGAGACGCAGAAUGUUUCCUAAACGGGGGUGCUUGAAAAUGUUCAAAACGGACUGUUCCGGCGAGAUUAUCGUCUCCCUAUCGGAGUCGCCCAGAAGUCAAGAGAGAACGACGAGGUUCCGGCGAAGGAGUCGCCGGAACAGCUACCAAACCCACCGGAACCCGUUUUCAAGUAACCCGAAAUCAACCCCGCUUUCUUUUACGUUGCAGAUCUUGACCUCGAAUCCCUCUCUCUCUCUUGAUGCUCUAUCUCUAUCACUCUUCGGCGUUCUCUCCCUCUCUCAUUUUUCUCUAUUUUUCCUCCUCCGACCAGUUCUCUCUCUCCACCACAACAAUGACGUUUUCUCCCUAUAUCUCUCUCAAUCUAUCUCCCUCCAUCUUCUCCGAUCUAUGUGUAUACGUGCGGUGAAGGGAGUGUGAAUCCGGUGAGUGUGUGCGUGAGUUUAUCGCGGUAACAGCUGAAAAUGGAAGAUGAUGGUAAUGGUUUUGUGGUGAGUGUGUUCUUGUGUAUUUAGUGAAGUUGAGUGUUAUGUGUGCCGUGGAGAAGAAAAAGAAAAAUGGAGUUCAUCCAUGGCUACUGUCGUGUGCUUCCAGGAAGAAAUGGAAUUCUGUAUCUUUAAUAAUGGAAAGGGUCCAUUUUUUUCUUUUUUUUUUUUCGUCCAUCCCCCCUCAUUUGUCAAGAUGAUCAGUGUAUAUAUGUAUUCAAAAAAAACAAAAGGGAAAGUGGGGUCCAUCAGUGAGUGUCCUGUGGAAAUUUCCUGGAAGAUGUAUAUUAUAUUGUGUAAGUAUAUAUGGCGUGUGGUAGUGGGGUAGAGUAGGUGGGGUAAUGAGGUGGGGGUAGGGAUAUGAUGUGAUGUGGUUUAUUUUGAUUGGGUAGGUUGUUAGGAUAAAGUUUGUUAGGGAGUUUUGUUAUUAUUAUUUUUUUUUUUUAUAUUUUAUGGAGGGAUAAUUACAUGAGGUAGAGCACGUUGUAAGACGGGAAUAAAAAUGUGUAACUUGGAUCUUCGAAAGGG
rnacentral:lncRNA from 1 species